UACGUAGGGUGCGAGCGUGUCCGGAAUUAUUGGGCGUAAAGAGCUUGUAGGCGGUUUGUCGCGUCUGCUGUGAAAAUCCGGGGCUCAACCCCGGACUUGCAGUGGGUACGGGCAGACUAGAGUGUGGUAGGGGAGACUGGAAUUCCUGGUGUAGCGGUGAAAUGCGCAGAUAUCAGGAGGAACACCGGUGGCGAAGGCGGGUCUCUGGGCCGAUACUGACGUGAGGAGCGAAAGCGUGGGGAGCGAACAGG
rnacentral:rRNA from 1 species